AUUGAACGCUGGCGGCAGGCCUAACACAUGCAAGUCGAGCGAGCGGCGGACGGGUGAGUAAUGUCUGGGGAACUGCCUGAUGGAGGGGGAUAACUACUGGAAACGGUAGCUAAUACCGCAUACUAAUAGACGAGCCUAAGUCGGAUUAGCUAGUUGGUGGGGUAAAGUACUACCAAGGCGACGAUCUGUAGCGGGUCUGAGAGGAUGAUCAGCCACACUGGAACUGAGACACGGCCCAGACUCCUACGGGAGGCAGCAGUGGGGAAUAUUGCACAAGGGGCGCAAGCCUGAUGCAGCCAUGCCGCGUGUGUGAAGAAGGCCUUCGGGUUGUAAAGCACUUUCAGCGGGGAGGCGUUACCCGCAGAAGAAGCACGGGCUAACUCCGUGCCAGCAGCCGCGGUAAUAC
rnacentral:rRNA from 1 species